AUCUUCAGGUUCAUAAGCAUGAUGAUUGGGUGUUCAUGCUCCAUGCAUGACAUGUGCCUCCUUUGAACCUUGUUAUGACAUGGGCACAUUAACCAUCUGACA
rnacentral:snoRNA from 1 species